GAUGAAGAACGUAGCGAAAUGCGAUAAGUAGUGUGAAUUGCAGAAUUCAGUGAAUCAUCGAAUCUUUGAACGCACAUUGCGCCCCUUGGUAUCCCAAGGGGCAUGCCUGUUCGAGCGUCAUUUCACCACUCAAGCCUGGCUUGGUGUUGGGCGACGUCCCCUUUGGGGACGCGCCUCGAAACGCUCGGCGGCGUGGCACCGGCUUUAAGCGUAGCAGAAUCUUUCGCUUUGGAAGUCGGGGCCCCGUCUGCCGGAAGACCUACUCGCAAGGUUGACCUCGGAUCAGGCAGGGAUACCCGCUGAACUUAAGCAUAUCAAUAAGCGGAGGA
rnacentral:misc_RNA from 1 species